rnacentral:lncRNA from 1 species
UGAGAUCGGCGUUCACUGGCGUGAGCUGCUGGUUAAACGUGUCACUGGUGUAGACUAUGGCAGUAUGCUGUGAAACUAUAUGGCAAGUAUACUUGUUUCUCUUGACUUGGGUGAUUUCAAGUGUGUAGGACUAGUAGAAACUUCCCAGUUCAGCAGCACCUGUACCUUGGUCUCGUCGUCGGUCUGAAACUUCCCAGUUCAGCAGCACCUGUACCUUGGUCUCGUCGUCGGGGUCUGUAUUUCUGUGCUUCGCUAGAGUGGACGGUCUGCAAUUUUGUAAUGGGCCCCCAACCGUUUAGCCGUUGACCUUUCGUUUCCAGUUGUCGGGUGUGGCCACUGACCAGCAGUUGGCUGCUUAUAGUGGUGUCUGAGUUCCGAUCCGAUCUCAGAUUGUCACCACAGAUAGGACGCUGGUGGGUGGUGGCUGCCAACGGACGGGUCGGACGUGGUGCAAAGGAUGAUAUACACAGCUGCCGACCUGGCAUACAGCAGAGACGUACAGCAUGUCGUGUUCGUCCGGGGCGCUCUGAAACUUCGUACGAGGCUACGAGCGAGCGCGUGACUUGCUGGUAAAUCAGCAGCUGUUUGAUUUGGAACGGUCGUCGUUGUUUACCGAUUGACCCCGGGGCCGGUCAAUUACCCCGAAUGUCCGAACGACUCGGCCAUCGAUCUUGUCAUCCGAGACUCG